ACGGCCAUACCAUGCUGAAUAUACCGGUUCUCGUUAGACCACCGAAGUCAAUCAUUGGGCGCGGUCAGUACCCAGGGGUGACCACCUGGGAACACCACAGGCCGU
rnacentral:rRNA from 1 species